rnacentral:rRNA from 1 species
GACGAACGCUGGCGGCGUGCUUAACACAUGCAAGUCGAACGAAGUGGCGAACGGGUGAGUAACGCGUAAUCAACCUGCCCUUCAGAGGGGGACAACAGUUGGAAACGACUUCUACUACCCCAUACUGCCGGAGUGGCUUGCGUCGUAUUAGCUAGUUGGAGGGGUAAGGGCCCACCAAGGCGAUGACCAGUUGGCGGGUUGAAGGGAGGAAAGGCAACAUUGGGACUGAGACACGGCCCAGACUCCUACGGGAGGCAGCAGGUGGGAAUCUUCCGCAAUGGAAGAAAGUCUGACGGAGCAACGCCGGGUGAGUGAUGACGGCCUUCGGGUUGUAAAGAUCUGUUAAUCGGGACGCGGUACCGGAAUAGAAAGCCACGGCUAACUACGUGCCAGCAGCCGCGGUAAUAC